rnacentral:rRNA from 1 species
GUGCCAGCCGCCGCGGUAAUACGUAGGGCGCAAGCGUUAUCCGGAAUUAUUGGGCGUAAAGAGCUCGUAGGCGGUUUGUCGCGUCUGCCGUGAAAGUCCGGGGCUUAACCCCGGAUCUGCGGUGGGUACGGGCAGACUAGAGUGCAGUAGGGGAGACUGGAAUUCCUGGUGUAGCGGUGAAAUGCGCAGAUAUCAGGAGGAACACCGAUGGCGAAGGCAGGUCUCUGGGCUGUAACUGACGCUGAGGAGCGAAAGCAUGGGGAGCGAACAGGAUUAGAUACCCUGGUAGUCCAUGCCGUAAACGUUGGGCACUAGGUGUGGGGGACAUUCCACGUUUUCCGCGCCGUAGCUAACGCAUUAAGUGCCCCGCCUGGGGAGUACGGCCGCAAGGCUAAAACUCAAAGGAAUUGACGGGGGCCCCCCCAAGCGGCGGAGCAUGCGGGAUUAAUUCGAUGCAACGCGAAGAACCUUACCAAGGCUUGAACAUGAACCGGAAUGAUGCAGAGAUGUGUCAGCCCACUUGGUGGCCGGUUUACCAGGUGGUGCAUGGUUUGUCGUCAGCUUCGUGUCGGUGAAGAUUGUUGGUUUAAGUCCCCGCAACGAGCCGCAACCCUCGUUCCAUGUUGCCAGCCGGUUAAUGCCGGGGACCUCAUGGAGACUGGCGGGGUCAACUCGGGAGGAAAGGUGGGGACGACGUCCAAUCAUCAUGCCCCUUAUGUCCUGGCCUUCACGCAUGCUACAAUGCCGGUACAAGGUGCGAUACUGCAGUGAGCUAAUCCAAAAGCCGUCUCAGUUCGAUUGAGUCUGCACCCGACUCAUGAAGUUGAUCGCUAGAAUGCGAUCAGCACGUGCGUGAUACGUCGGCUGCACACCGCUCGUCAAGCAAUCGUAACUGCAGGACUAGUGCU